GAGAAGAAGAAGUUAAACGUGGAGCUUCUGAUGAGGCAGCGAGGACACAGUGUUCAUUUCCUGUUUCAGACAGACAGACAAGAACAUGGAAGGUGGUCAUGUGAUCAGUCCCCCCCCCUCUGUAGAUUGUUGUUAUCUGAGACACUUUAAAUGGGGGGGGGGCUGCAUGCUGUGGAGGCGACGAUAGAUUAGAGACAACAGGACACGGAUCAUGACCCCAUCAGGGACAAAAGAAGGACUUUAGAGGACAGACGUUGUCCCCUUUAAGGCUCUCACAUGACUCCUCCUUUUUAUUCCAGUGCUUCAAAUGCGGAAAAUGUGUCUGCUGAACGUUUCCAUGGAAACGAAAAACAGAGCAGCUGUUGACAAAAUAGUUCCUGGAAGUGAAUCUGAAGUUGUGUGAAGUUAAUCAUUUAAACGUUUCUUCAUCAUACAUUUAAAACUAAAUCUGCUUCCUCAGACGUCAGGUUUGAACUGUUCUCUAAGUUCAUUAUUUAUUAUCCAAUCAGACGGUCUAAAGGUAAUCACCCCCCCUAAAGGAGAGGGACAGUCCAUUUAUUCACCUGGUCGGAGAGGACGGGAGACACCGGAGGAAGGAAGGAAGGAGUUAGUGAGGAGAGGAAGGAAGGACAUAGUGAGGAGAGCAGCUUCUCCACAGCUGCUUCCUGUUUUCCUCUCACUUUCCCAGCCGUUGGCGUUUUGGUGUGUGUGUGUGUGUGUGUGUGUGUGUGUGUGUGUGUGUGUGUGUGUGUGUGUUCUUGUUCUUCUAUGCCGGUGGGGACCUAUACCUGAUUGCACACAGACCGGUGGGGACUUGUGUCCCCGUGGGGACCUAAAAUGAGGUCCCCACGGGCAAACCCCUCCCACAAGCUCCAAAAUGGUGUCUAGAUACACCCCCAAUGAUUUUUUCUGAGGUCCCCUGGAACAUCAAUUUCAUGACAAAACUGUGUGAGUGUGUUUCUGAAUGCGCCCCUAGUGGAUGCACACGGGUACUGCAGUCCCCAUGAGGUUGGCUGUUCUUGAAGUGUGCGUCGCUGUUUUUCCACUCACUACCGCCCCCUAUCGGUUCAAAAGUGGUAUUUUCGCAACAUACACUUUCAAUGCUGUCUGUUUGAUGGUGGUAAAACAGACCACAAAUAAAAUGCUUUAUUUCAUAAAAAGUAUACAAAUAAAUAAACCAAAAAAUUCAUACAUACAUAAUAUUAAUACUGAUAUUGAUCAAAUUAUUCAAUUAAAUAAAAAUCAAUUUCAUUAAAACAAUUAUAAGGUUUAUUUCAAAUGUAUAAAAUGUUAGACUAGCCUUUAUGUAAACUCUUGCCUGUUUAUUUAAUACUAUUUUAAGGAUAUGUUGUUAUUAGUAUGUCAUCAUUGAUAUUAUUGACAAUCGUAAUAAUAGUCUAUAUUUGAUUUCAUUUAUCAUAUGAAUAGUGUAACAUGAAUUAUUGCAGAGAUCAAUAAGGUCUUUUAUUUUCAGAUAACUUGUCUUAAUAAACAGUGCCCACUGUUUAAUCACAACGCUAUGGAUGAUAAUAGACAAGCAAGUAUAGAGUUGUAUCCAUAGACAAAAUAGGAGUACAAAAGACAUUUUACUUUAAAUCAAUAUAGCAAGAUGCUUUGAUGGAUGACCAUUUAAUGUGUACACUUUCUAUAUCAAAUUAAUUAGGUUAAUAUUUGCGUGAACUAUAAAUGACAAGUUGUUGACUUGCUGAGGGAUUGCAUAGAGCAGGGGUAGGCAUUGUAUGGCUCGCGGGCCACAUCCGGCCCUUUGGCUGUCCGUGACCGGCCCGUGAGAGGUUGAUUGGAAAUUACAAAGUAAAUAUUUUUGUCUAAUUUUACCUCAUGCAUGGACUAAAGCUGCAGUACUUUUAUUCUUCUCCUUGGCUUUGGACGAGAGCUAACUGAGGAGCUGGCAGCACUGCGCUCAAUGAAAGUGAUAACGACAGGGAGCGAUUUAUUCACGGAGGUAGAUGCAUGCACAAACAUGCUGGGUCUGAAAUGGGACCAAUUUGCAGGUGUCACAACAGAGGCCUGUCCAAGUCCUGUCAAUAUUUUUGCAUUUUAUAAAUGUGGUGACCCCUGCUGUGGAGGCAGCAGCUUUGCAGUGGGAUUUUGUGGGCUGAGUUUGGUGAUUGAAGGCACCUGGGCCCGGUUCCCUGAGAUUAAAAGACCCAGUGUUCAUUCUCUCUUCUCUCUCCAGUAGACGUCCGGUGGUGUGGUAGUAGACGUCCGGUGGUGUGGUCGUGUACCUUUUUUUCGUUGGCUUAUGUUAAAUAAAGAAGAUGUUAAAACUCUUUAAAACAGUACAACUCCAAUCUUGUCAUGGCCCAAAGAGCCAGGUUGUGACAUAAUACAUCAGCCUGUGUUGCAAGUCAAAAAUUAACCAUGUCAUUGAUGUUGUCACUAAAAUAUUUAACUUCAUCAGGGCACAACCAUUGAAUCACAGACAGUUUGCUACACUUUUGGAGGAGCAUGAGAAUGAACAUUGUGACAUAGGCUACGACACAGCACAGUCAUGAUUUGAUUGUUAUAUAUGUAAACUAUUUAAAAUCUAUAACACCCCAAUAAUGCAACUAAAACAUCAAAAAUGGUUAGGGUGGUGUUCUUGUAUAUUUACCCAAGUGCUUUCCUGUGUUAUUUUUAGGCUAUAGUAUCAAUAUAAAACAUAUUUUACUGUAGGAUGCCUUAGCCUGGAAUCAACCAAGGCCUGCAGUGUGAGCUAUUUUGCAUCUGAAUUACAUGAGGGCAAAGGGAAAAAUUGCCCAUAAGAAAUAUCAUUUUGCCCCAAAUAUCACUACGAAAGGGGCCAAAAAUGCCAUUGAAUGUUUUUGAGUCUCGCCUUGACUGUUGUUCCGUGUGCGGGAAGGAUCAAACGUUCUUAAAAAGAAAAAAGGAGCACUUCUUGAUCAGACCUGUGAGUUCGCAGAGAGCAAAUCCAGUCUCCGUCACCAUCUCAGGUCCAAAAGAAAAAGGCCCUCAAAUUUAGCAACAACCAAUGUCGUUGUCUACCGGGGAAUUCUUCUGCUGACUUUAUCAAGUGGAGCAAAAACAACACGAAAUACGUGUCCUUUCGUCACCAGGCAACCGAGCAACAUAGUGGGUGAUAACCAGUUGUUUCAAAAGUAUUCACAUUCAUUACUCAAGUAGAAGUAUAGAUACUUCUGUUGAAGUAUCAACUCAAGCUUUUAACUUAAGUAAAAAUACUGAUUGUGUAGGUGUAAGGGGAAAUAAUUCCAUCAAGUACAAAGUCUUAAUGUGUAAUCUCGCUCACAGAACAUGUCAGUCCAUUACAAUAGACAAUAAUAAUUCAGAUCAUGUGAACCUGCCGUUCGGAUGAUGUAAACAUGGUGAUGUUCAGAGAGGCAAUGCUAAAACAUAGGGACACAUGCUCAAACAAAUAAAACGCCCCUGGAUACUUCCGGUUAAGUUAACCAUCAUGUGUUGAUGAUGUCACAGAGGUGCGCGGUUUUGUGAAAUAAUAAAGAUGGACGGAUACAGCGCCAAUGACUAAUAUUAGUACUGCGUGUUUUACUUGGACAAUUAAAUGUCAGUGGACACUCACAAAUACUACAGCCCCCAUCACGAUUACAAUUGUUCACUCCUCAGUGCGCGGUUUCGCCCACCAGCGGAACCCCUCCGCCCCUAAACCCGGCCGGUCCGCCCGCAACUUUCAACGUGCUUAUUAACUGACGGACCUUCUUGCGGUCCGCGAAAAAGGUUAUUAAUAGUAUAUUAAGUUGACGCUUUGUUGCGUAAAAUAAAGACCAAACGAAAAGAAUAAAAUGAUCUUCUGUCAUUCACGUAAGAAAAUAAACUCACGUGUCUGCAGCUCAAUAACAACACCGAAGGAACAACGUCUCGACCCCGGUUUAAGUCUCCAGCAGACGAGGAGUAGCCUCGUUAGCAGUUUAGCUAGCUAGCACUUAUCGCUCUCCCAUGUUUGAAAUAUCUAACCGUCCUGCCUCCACAUACGGUUAUGUCCCAGGUGUGGUCGUGAAAAGCAAGUUCCAUUUUUAUGUAUGCAUCAAUGCAUUCCAACUAAUGAGGCUUGCUAGCUACCCUUAGUUAACGGUUCACAGACUGCUGUCAGUGAGAAAUGUUUCAUCUCCUAUAGGGUUGGGUACCGAGAACCGGUACUAAUAUAGCACCGGUUCCUACGCGGUACCUACCGUACUGAAAUGCAACGCAGAUUUCGGUGCUUAGUUUCGGUUCCUGAGCCGAUUGAAAAAAUGUAUUUACACACUCUGAUGACACCGUCCUCUCAGCAGCAAACGAUAGCCUACCGUGUGGCAAGCUAGCCAUCACCCUUCUAUUCUAUUUAUUUAAGUCAGUAUUUCCCUCCCUCUUUCAGCACGCGGCACUAUCGCCCAGACGGAUGCAGGCACACUAUUGCGCGCACACACAGACACGUGCGCAUAUACAGGAGAGCUGCGCUCUCCAGCGGACACAGAGCGUGAGUCCGCAACUACUGCACCCCUCCCGUCGGACAGCCCCCCACUGAAGUAUUAAACAGAGGGUGUAACGACGUUCCUUCGGUGCUGUUCGCCAUUAAGCCACAUUGAGCUGCAGACACGUGACUCCAUUUCUUCACGCAAAUGACGGCAGAUCGUUUGAUUCUUUUCGUCUUUAUUUUACACAGCAUAGCGUUAACUAAACAUAGAAAUAAUAAUAAAUUCUAUCACAUGGUGGAUAAACAAUAUGCUCUUUUGCUUAAUCAGAAAUAAUUUUAAAUGCACCGGUUUAGCACCGAAAAAACCCCCGAUACCAAUCCCUACUCUCCUCAAAGGUUACUGACAUCUUGUGGUUAACAGCCAAUCGUGUAUUUGGAUAAAAUACAAUUAGUUGAGACUGUAGUUGAUUGAGGGUUUCAAGGUUUAAAUUAGUUUUGUUUUUACAGAAGCAUGGCGUAAUCAUCUCAAUAAACGAGAGCCAACUUUGGUUGCUGUGAAUCUGAUCUAGAAGACAGCGUUCUGCAAAAUAGUCAAGCUGUUUGACAUCUCUUAACACGAGAAACGAUAAAAGAAAUAAAAAGAAAAUUGAAUGAGUCUGAUUAAUGUUUUCUGUUUUGAUUCAAAGAAUCUAAGAAAAACCCUUUAGAUUUGUAAACUACUGCCUAAUAGUCUCAUUACUGCCAUUUUAUGGCAAUUACAUAUACAUCCAAAUGUAGUCCAAAUAAGUAUAUUUAAUCGUUUUAACAAAGGUAUUAUGUUAUUUCACUAGUUUAAUGAAAAAAUGCCGCCAAUUUUUUGAUAAAACAACCCUGCUUUUCAGUUAGUGGGGGCAAGUGCGUAACAAUGCAUUCUUUAGGAAAUAUUGAGAAAAUACCAAUCUAACCCCCCCAAUAUACAUGGUUACGCCCUUGAAUGGGGCCUAAAUAUUAUGUGAAUUUCCUACCCUGCUAUGGCAUGACAUAUUAUGCAGCACGAUAAAGUGUCAUUAAUGUCUACAUUGAAUCAACGGUGCUAGAAUAUUUGGUGUUUGGUUGUCCUCCCCCAAAGCCCAUAUAUAUGGAUAACUUGCCAACGAUAUAAACUAUUUGACAAAAGUAUAUAGAUAACACUGCAAUAAGUAAGACAAAUCUUUCGAUAUGAGACAGGCUGUCUCAGUUGAGUUGGGGUCUGAUAGGCGCAGAUACGAAGACAAUUGGUUGAAGUUGUCAACAUCAAAGGGGGCUGACUUUGGCAGUCUAGAAAGCUUUUGGAAUACACCCUGAAACCAGAGAUGGGGAUGGUGAGAAGAAAUUCAGUCUGAAGAAGAGUAAAUGGGAUUGGGUCAAGGGUGUAUGUGGUGAGGCAGUUAGAGUACAUACUGAAACCUCUUGUGAAGCCACAUAAGGCCUCCUGAUGGUAUCAGCCCCAGGGUGCUGAAGACCUGCGCCAUCCAGCUGUCUAAAGCCCACCAACAUCUCCUUAUUCUGAACCUAAAGCAGCAGGCAGUCCCGAUGCUGUAGGAGACACCGUGGCCUCAAUGACCACUGACUAGUUGCCCUCACAUCCCAUGUGAUGAAGGUGCUGGAGAGGCUGCUCUUGACCCACCUUCAAGCCCAGAUAAAAUCAUCACCGGGCCCUCUGCAAUUUGCAUUGCCUUAUGUGGGAGUGGAUGACGCCAUCAUCUACCUGCUGCCACGAGCCCAGUCGCACCUGGAUGGUGGCUCUAUCCCUUUCUUUGACUUCUCCAAUCAGUGAUUCUGGCGCUUCACAGUUCUGUGUACCUUGUACACAACUCACUUCAGUUAGGGCAGCUCCGACCGCUGGGCGCUACAUGACUUGUAAAAAUAAAUGCUGCAGCCUGCCGAAGAGCAACGUCAGUUUUUACGGCAUAAUGCCGGUAUGAACAGUGCGUGAGUUACCGUAAAACCUUGAUUAAAGACUACAUAGAAGACUGUAAAAAUUGUCAGCCCCUCCCCACUCUUUAUUCUUAAACCGGAAAUAUGAUCAUUAGCGCCUAAAACGUUUUGUGUAUUCUUGUGUGAGUACUACACUUUUAAAUGCUAUUUCCCAUUCUAAAUUCAUAAUUUAUGUCUGCACAUAUAAAUACUUGUUCUGAAUACAAGGGCUUGUAAAUGUAGUAGUUGUAGUUUUUAUUCUUAAAAUAUCAAUGUUUGUCUACAUUUUUAAUUGUUCAAAAAUGCUUCCAGUUUUAUUAGAAAUUAAAUAAAAUACAUAUUAAAAUGUAUACUUAAUUCUAGUUGAGUAAUAACGUCUCAACUUCACCAGGUAUUUUAUGUAAUCCUUCGGUUUUAGUAAUUACUAUUACCCUUCUACGUUAUUAACAAGGCCCAGCAGAACAGGCUGAGCCCCAAUGCUCCCUCAAGCUAAUGGUGACUGAAGGAGUGGGGGGAUGGGCGAGGGUACGGUGGGGACAGUCAAUGUCAGGUUUUGUGUUAAGAACCUUAAGUUUCGUUUCUUUACACAAAACCGAACUGUUACCAUCCACGUGGGGUCCUCGGUCUGGCCACGCCCCCACCAAGCACCUGCUACCGUCCAUUUCCCUCAGACUGCCGAGGAGCAGACAACGUGACGGUGCUGGCUGCAGAAGCUGGAUAGAAAUGGUGAGUUUUUAAUUAUUGGACUAGCUUCUAAUGUAAAACAGUGCUUUUUACGUUUACUUUGAUACUAUUAAUAUAUGUACUGCCAUAUAAAAUGAGCUGUUGCAAUGUGCUAAACUCAACUUAGAUGGGAAGCUAAUGUUAGCUAACAAUAAGCAAGCAUGUGCAAGCAGCAGCAUGUGCACGCGUUGUGAAAUAGAAUGCUGGACAGCUAAUUAGUUAUUUAUUAUAUACUAUAUAAAUAUAUUCAUGUUUUAUCAAUAUCUUUUCACACAGAAUGUGAAUAUUAUGCUCAACAAAGGGAGUGUAAUACUUAAUCUGCGUUAAGACCUGGAUUAUAACUAAUUUCCCUUUAACCAUUUUAAGUAUCCUUACGGUGGCUUUUGGGCCUAUAACACUUAAUAAGCAGUUUUCCAUUUGCCCAAAGAGUGAUUGUAAUAUCUACCCAUGUAUAAAUAGGCAUUUUAAUUCAGAUUGUCAUAGGUAUUGAGAUAGAUAAUAUAAUGUUUGUCGUUAAGAACAGAAGUAGAUGUUGUUACUAUAAUGCAUUCCAUAACAGAUAAACUUAAUUCAUUUCAGUAAAAAAAAAAAAAGAGUACUGUAAUGAGUUGGAUGUAUAGCUUUGGCUGAAUGUGUCCCUUGUGCUUUUAGGAGGAUGGAGCAUGUUUGCCAUCCAGUAGUGACAGCUCGAAGUGCACAGAUGCUGAUGUCGGAGAAAUGAAGGAGCCUUUGACCGUGAACAUACUAACCAGGUAGUUCCGAUGAAAAGAUGCUGCUGGCUGGAGAGGUCUGGUGAAUCCCACACAAAAAAGGGUCACCACAAACAAAGAAGAAGUGGACCAAAGAGGAAAUCGAAGCUGUUGAAAGGACCUUAAUGGACUACAUCAAUGGUGGUCAGUGGUCAGAAAUGCAUCACAACAUCGUCACUGGCCGAUCAAGGGAUGAGUUGUCAAAAUAUAUAUUAAAAACUGAAUUUAAAAGAAUUAAAAAAAAGGUAAGCCGCAUUUUCAUCAGAUGGAAGAUUAAAUUCCUGGUGGACUGCCAGCACGUUUACAGACAUUGUUUACAGUAGUCUUAUUGCUCUCUGUUAUUGUUAUAUUUAUAUAAUAUUUGAAAGUUGAAAUGUUGUGCACUGCAGUUGUGUGUGUAUAUACAUAUAUAUAUAUAUAUAUAUA